rnacentral:rRNA from 1 species
UCGUACGGACCAGCAAUGGUCAGUGGCGGACGGGUUAGUAAUACGAUCGAACGUACCCUGAGGUGGGGGAUAGCGGCGGGAAACCGCCGGUAAUACUCCAUGAUCUCUCCGGAGCAAAGCCGCAAGGCGCCUUUGGAUCGGCGAUCGGCCUAUCAGCUAGUUGGCGGGGUAACGGCCCACCAAGGCGAUGACGGGUAGCAGGUGUGAGAGCACGACCUGCAACAUCGGGACUGAGACACUGCCCGGACUCCUACGGGAGGCUGCAGCGACGAAUCUUCCGCAAUGGGCGCAAGCCUGACGGAGCGACGCCGCGUGUGGGAUGAAGCGUCUACGACGUGUAAACCACUGUCAGAGGACAGAAACACUGAUUGUCCUCAGAGGAAGGGGCGACUAACUCUGUGCCAGCAGUCGCGGUAAUACAGAGGCCCCGAGCGUUA